rnacentral:lncRNA from 1 species
AUUUAUAUAUGUUUUUUUUAUUAUUCCAGCCCGCGACUGCGCCGGCGACGUGCCCGACGCGGUGCCGAUCGCCGUGGGCUGCGCGCUCGGCGGGCUGGUGGUGGUGGUGCUGGUGGCCUACCUGCUGGCGCGGCGCCGCUCCGCCGUGCGGGGCUACCUGUCCAUGUAGACUGAUCACCACAGCUGAGCCAGCGAGGGAAGUCAGUGAGAAGUACUAGCUAGAAAUCCACUUCAUCGCAUUUACUGUUAAUUUGCGAGACGCGAUACAUUUGAUGUUUGCUCAAUUCUAUGUCAAACGCUCGUCAAUUGGACCUAUUUAAAGUAUUAGGGUUAUAGAUACCUGCAUAUUUGGUGACUAUAGCAGGAGGCUUAUUCUGUAACUAGAUACCUUAUUCAAGAACGUUGACAAUUCAUGUUUUAUCUCCCGUCCCUUUCUAUCGCAAUGGUUUAUUUUAAAGUUAGAAAGAGAUAGGAGAUGCCUUGUCAAACGUACGUGAAUCGACCCUAAGGAGACGUUUAGUAUUUUUUUUAAACCCUGUUUAAUAUAGUUAUCAAGUGCAGCGAUUUCUUUGAAGUUACGUUUUGCUAUGAUUCUUUGACUUAAUAAGAAUCGUUUGUACCGAAGUAAUUAUAUAAGUUAAAAAACAGUAAUGCGAGCUUUAGGCAAAAUUUGGGAGGUAAUUUUGAUUUUUUUUUUCUGAAGAAAAUACAUAGUCUGUGGAGGAGGAAAAAUAAUUUAAAAAUAAAUGUUUUGUUUUUUUUUUUUAUCGUGUAGUGAAUUUAUAAUUUUUUUUUGUGAAUAAAACGCCGGUUCACUGUGAAUGUUACUUUUUACUGUAUUUUGUUUUAGAUGUUCUUCUUAAAUUUAAGAAAUCUACCUCCCAAAUAUAAAAAACGAAAUAAUAAUAUUUUUUUUAAAUUUUUUCUAAAAUAAGAAAAUUUUUUGACAUUUAAAAUUUAAAACUGAAUUAACAUCCAGAUUAAAGAACUUAGUUCGUGUAAAGAACAAAUUGUUUAUAAAUUCGAGCAAUGCAAAGCUGAGCGUGUUAGCUGAUUCUUCGUAUAAUUUACGUUUUCAUCUAAGCCAUAAUAAAUAGUGAUAAUUUGAUUUUGUACUUGGAAAAAAAAAA